GGACCUCAGGGCCUCUCUCUCCGUCGCCUCUAAACCCGCUCUUCCCAAGAUUGGGUUGCAGUGGUCGAUGGAAACUCAGCUCAGCCAUUGAAUUGGAUUGCAGAGGUUUUGUUUGAGACUGCAGUCGUCGUCGUUCGCAGCAAGACUCAUCGUUAAGGUUGCCAAUCGGUUCGAUUUUCUUUCUAGAAAGCGCACUGUCCAAGAGUGCGCUUGAAAUCCGUAGUUUCUGCGAGCACAAUACUGUUGGAAAGUUGAAUUGUGCAGCUAAAAGCCAGCACAUGUGACCUUGUUGACCAAUUCGUCAGAAAAACCGGGGAGAGAGACUUGCUCGUGUAUAAGGUGGAUCCCUUGGAGCCUCAGUGGCAUAGAGAAUGGCUUACACACCUUUAAAAUGAAUAGAUGAAAAUGUUCUGUGAAGUGUCUGGCUGCUGCUUUGAAGAAUUCCAGUACACCCUGCUUACUGUACAGUUGCUGACUAGCAGGAUGACAUUUGAUUCGCGGUCAGUGAUCCUACAAUAAAAAGACUUUACCUCCCUAAUGAUUGUAAAAUUGGGAUGUCGCAAUUCUUUGUACUUUUUAUUCACAAUAGCUCAUCGUUUUCCUCUCCUCAAGAUGCUUCUAGUUGUCAAUCAGUUGGGUGUUGAUCUAAUUUAUGGUACCUCCAUUUAAAAUGUCCAGGUUCCUGUAUUUAUUAUUCACACAAAAGUGAAAGAACAUUAAUUUGUUUCA